rnacentral:rRNA from 1 species
GAUGAACGCUGGCGGCGUGCCUAAUACAUGCAAGUCGAGCGGACCAAAGAGAGCUUGCUCUCUGAGGUUAGCGGCGGACGGGUGAGUAACACGUGGGCAACCUGCCUGUAAGACUGGGAUAACUUCGGGAAACCGGCGCUAAUACCGGAGAAUCCUUUUCCUCCCAUGAGGAAAAGCUGAAAGACGGAUUCGGAUGUCACUUACAGAUGGGCCCGCGGCGCAUUAGCGAGUUGGUGAGGUAACGGCUCACCAAGGCGACGAUGCGUAGCCGACCUGAGAGGGUGAUCGGCCACACUGGGACGGAGACACGGCCCAGACUCCGACGGGAGGCAGCAGUAGGGAAUCGUCCGCAAUGGACGAAAGUCUGACGGAGCAACGCCGCGUGAGCGAUGAAGGCCUUCGGGUCGUAAAGCUCUGUUGUCAGGGAAGAACAAGUACCGGAGUAACUGCCGGUACCUUGACGGUACCUGACCAGAAAGCCACGGCUAACUACGUGCCAGCAGCCGCAGUAACAC